rnacentral:rRNA from 1 species
CAUUCGUGGCAAGGGAUAUUUCAACUCUCGCAUCGAUGAAGAAUGUAGUAAAAUGUGAACUUGAUGUGAAUUGAAGAAUCCAGUGAACUAUCAAGUUUUGGAACGUAAGUUGUGCCCGAAAUCAUUAGACUGAGGGUAUGUUUGUGAGGACUCA